rnacentral:rRNA from 1 species
GACGAACGCUGGCGGCGUGCUUAACACAUGCAAGUCGAACGGAAAGGCCCUGCGUUUGUGGGGUGCUCGAGUGGCGAACGGGUGAGUAACACGUGAGUAACCUGCCCUUGACUUUGGGAUAACUUUAGGAAACUGGGGCUAAUACCGGAUAGGAGCUCCUGCUGCAUGGGGGGGGUUGGAAAGUUUCGGCGGUUGGGGAUGGACUCGCGGCUUAUCCGCUUGAUGGUGGGGUAGUGGCUUACCAAGGCUUUGACGGGUAGCCGGCCUGGGAGGGUGACCGGCCACAUUGGGACUGCGAUACGGCCCAGACUCCUACGGGAGGCAGCAGUGGGGAAUAUUGCACAAUGGGCGGAAGCCUGAUGCAGCAACGCCGCGUGCGGGAUGACGGCCUUCGGGUUGUAAACCGCUUUCGCCUGUGACGAAGCGUGAGUGACGGUAAUGGGUAAAGAAGCACCGGCUAACUACGUG